CCCCGCGAGAGCGCGCCCCCCGCGCUGCGCGCCGCGCCCCGCCCCGCCUCGCCCGCCGGCCGUUGGUGGGCGGGGCGCUGGAGUCGGCCGGGGUCCCCCAAAUCCAGCCGGAAACAGUUGGCGAGUAAAUGUCUACGGGAUCCUUGUGUUGCUUCAGGCGUCCUGACGACAGGCUGCUUGAGAUCCGCUGUGGGCUGAUGAUACCUCCUGGAGAUGCUCUCUUACAUGUCCAGAUUUUCCCACUGGCAAAUGGGCCGGCAAUAUUGCGCUCACGUUCGGGAACGAGAUGCACGGUCAGCGUGUGAAAUGGCACAGCUGCGUGGCCUGCUGUUUGAAUGGGUUAUGACUAGUGACUUCUGUGAAUGCCAUGAGUGGAUGAAGUGGCACUGGUGGAUCAGGAACCCUGAUGUUGCCGACAGGU